AGCGCAGGCGGGAGAACAAGUUGGAAGUGAAAUCCAUGGGCUCAACCCAUGAACUGCUUUCAAAACUAGUUUUUCUUUGAGUAGUGCAGAGGUAGGCGGAAUUCCCGGUGUAGCGGUGGAAUGCGUAGAUAUCGGGAGGGAACACCAGUGGCGAAGGCGGCUUUCUGGACUGUAACUGACACUGAGGCUCGAAAGCCAGGGGAGCGAACG
rnacentral:rRNA from 1 species